AAAAAAAAAAAUCAAAAAAACGCGUCGUCCGCUGCUCUCGUCCUCUCCUCGCCAGUAGCCACGCCGCCUCCACCCCACGAAAGCCCGAGAAGACGCCGCCGCCUCCUCCUCUGUCGAAACAUGAAUUCGGCAAUAAUAAAAUGGGGUAGCGCACGAGACCUAAAAGUGGAUGGAUGUGGAGACAAAGGAUUUAGACAGGUUCAGGCCCUCUCAAUGAGAGGUAAUACCCUACUCCUGUUUGGGGAUUUGAAUCCGCCGGGUGUGUAUUGAUCUGACGAUCUAGUUGUCUCAUGCCCCUAGAGGGGCUCCCUGCCCUCCUUAUAUAGGACGGGGGGCAGGAUUACAAGAUAGAAACCUUAACCAAUACGGUAUCGGUUUCCUAAAUCUACUUUACAAUCUUAUCAAACCAGGACUUUAGGCCGUUUCAUAAUAUACAGGGAAACGUAAUACCCAAGUCAUGAUCUGUUACAUAUUUUAUAUAUAUAAGUUAUCCCCUAUAACUAGUCGGAUAACCAUGCCGUGUGGGUAUGGGGUACCCAUAAUCUCCACAGUAGCCCCUGAGACCUUCACAGUCGGAAAGAUAAUCUUCUCUCGAACUAGAUUACUCCAAAGCCGAGUGCUUCAAUCAUCUUCGCCAUGAUCUCCCGAGUGCUUUUUCCAAAACAGAAGACUGUGGAGGGCUGAAAAAAUAAAGUCAGGUGCAUCGACUAGAUGCACCGAGUGGUUUCGAUAAUUGUAGUCAACCAAGCGACUUAAUAUUAAUAUGUAGCAUAUGCGGUGUGAAUCCCUGAAUAAUAUGAUCCAAGUGAUAUACCGACUGCUUUGUAAAAUAUGAUGAGUGUAACCUAAAGUUGGCUACAUCAUUGAAAAUUCACAUAGCAAAACAGCUAUAAAGAAGCUUGUAUGUUGUGAAUAAAGAAAUUUCCAAAGUAUUGAGCAUACGCCAUGCGCACACUGCUUUAACAGAUGUGCUUAAGUCCCUAGAAGACACAUGGUUCCACCACACCUGGAAAUAUAUGGCAUAUGUGGUAUAAAAUCCGAGUAAAUAAACUCAUAAAGGAUUUACCAACCGCCUGAAAAAUGACCACAAUAUAUAAUCAGCCUAAGCCAUAAUAUUGGUCAAUAAAAAUGCACACUUACGUGGCAAAAAGCAAUGAUAUUGUAUCCAAUCAAUUGCUUAAAAACCCAAACAGCACCAUGACUAUAUAAAAAAGUCAGCGGGCCAGCUAUAUAAAGCUUUACUGUUUGACACCUUUUAAGAUGCAUUGUACCAACUCCUAAAAAGUCGAAUAACUGCGGUAUAAAAGGAUUUUAAGGUAUUGGGCACUUGAUCACGCGCACUUUGGCCUAAGCGAAAAGUGCCUAAGUCCCUAAAAGAACGUGACAGGCCACACCUGAAAAUAUGGGCUGCAGACAUAUUAGGCCUAGGCCAAAAAAUAUGCCUUCGACACCCUUUAAAGGAUGACGCAUGUAACAUGCUUCCGAGUAAUAAAUCUUCCGGGUAAUAUAGACCAAGUGUAGCUCAUAUGAAUAGCUUCUGAUCUGAAUGAUUAUCCCUUAUGGGAUACUCCAAAAUAGGUGUAACAAUUGAAUCCCGACUGGCGCAAGUAUUCGGUUGAUAGCCCUUACGGGGAAUAAUAAUUGGUCCAGUCUUUGAGCAUAGAAAAUAGACUCAUGACUAUGAAUCCAUGUGGAAUGUAUCCGGAACAAGUCCAAAUUGGAGAUAUAAUCCUCACGCUUGAGUUGAUGAGCCCCUGAGCAUAUAGCUUGUCCUUCUGUCAUAGUCAAAAUUGUCUAUUGGCAAUAGCUGACGCAGUCGGCAUGGAGAUGAAAUGACCAACAUGAAGACGAAAUUGCUCAUCAGAAGUAACGGAAGAUGUCAGUGGUAGUAAAGAUGCCACCAAUCAAAUGUAAUGAAGUUGCAUAACCAUGGAGGCGAAGAAACCAGUCGGCAACAGUCAGGUCAGCUAGCAGUGAAGAUGUAGGCGUCCAACAACAACGAAAGAACAGUCGGUGGUGACAAAAGCAAACCGACGAUGAAGACGUAGACGCGCAUCAACGGUGAUGGCGAAAUCCACCAAUCAUGAAGAUGAAGAAAAUAAUCGGCGGCGACAAACGCAUCCGACGGUAAUGAUGAUUAGCGGCAACAGAGAUAGCCGACUAUGAUGACGAAGUUUCUCAUCAACGGCAGCAGAGUAGGCUAUGUUGAUGAGGCUUGACAAGAUGUUGAUGAAGAUGACGAUGUCGGUGAUCCAGUCAAUAGCGAUGUAGCAGCCGAUGAUAACGAUGAGAUCCUCUAUCGGCAGUUGCGUAGUAGGCCAACCGUGAAGACAAAUAAUUGGAGGAGAGUUGAUGUUGUUGCCCAACUCGUCUAAACCGAAAUAUUUGAAGUUGUUGAAGUAGAAUGUCUGCUCCGAAUCAAAGAUGAAGAUAAUGACUCCUGGAGUUGACUCGUUGGUUGAUGAAUUGAUUUCUUCAGCUUGACAUAAAAUUUGUCAAAUUUUGAGCCUUAUAUUUGUGUAGCCCCCGACUCUUUGGUUAGUUGGGAAACAACUGAACAUAGAGUCGAGAAUUAUAGCUUCUUGUCGUCGAGUAGUCAUUGCUUGAUUGAAGAUAUGUGUUGAAGAUGUCCAAGUAGAAAUCCUGAAUAUUGGAGAGCCACUUGUUGUAGUAAAAUAACAUGGCAUUGCAUGCCGAGAUGUCGAGGUUCACAAAGACGUCGUGGUUGGUGAAGUAGUAAAACUUGCGAAGUAGCAACAAUAGAGUUUCCCGGUGCCGAAGAUAAUAAAGAUGAAGUCGCCCCACCAUGAUGACAAAGUUGUAUUGCCGUAAUGAAGUGAACACAAGUCGGCGGCAACAGAAGCAAACCGGUAGUGAAGACGCGCAGUUGUGAAGAUAAAAGCACCAGUCGGCGGCGGCAUAAUCAGUCGGCGACGGAAGAUGAUGAUGUCCAUCAGUAGUGGUAGCUGUAUAAACCAGACGUAGAGGUAAGGGCACUAGUCAGCAACAGACGAGACGACCGGCGAUUAAGAUGUAGAUGCCCAACAACGGCGGCAUAAUAAGCCAGCCGUGCAUGCGGAAACUCCAGUCGGCGACGGACGAGGCGGCCGGUCGGUGAAGACGUAGACGCCCAACAACGGCGGCAUAAUAGGCCAGCGUGCAGGCGGAAACACCAGUCGGCGGCGAUGGAGGCAGGCCGGUGGUGGGGUCGUAGACGCCCAACAACGACGGCAUAAUAGGCCAGCCGUGCAGACGGAGAUACCAGUCGGCGGCGGCGAAGGCAAGCCGGUCGGUGAAGACGUAGACGCCCAUCAACGGUGGCAUAAUAGGCCAGCGUGCAGGCGGAAACACCAGUCGGCGGCGAUGGAGGCAGGCCGGUGGUGGAGUCGUAGACGCCCAACAACGACGGCAUAAUAGGCCAGCCGUGCAGACGGAGACACCAGUCGGCGGCGGCGCAGGCAAGCCGGUCGGUGAAGACGUAGACGCCCAUCAACGGUGGCAUAAUAGGCCAGCGUGCAGGCGGAAACACCAGUCGGCGGCGGACGAGGCGGCCGGUCGGUGAAGACGUAGACGCCCAACAACGGUGGCAUAAUAGGCCAGCGUGCAGGCGGAAACACUAGUCGGCGGCGGACAAGGCGGCCAGUCGGUGAAGAGGUAGACGCCCAACAACAGCGGCAUAAUAGGCCAGCCGUGCAGACGGAGAUACCAGUCGGCGGCGGCGAAGGCAAGCCGGUCGGUGAAGACGUAGACGCCCAUCAACGGUGGCAUAAUAGGCCAGCGUGCAGGCGGAAACACCAGUCGGCGGCGAUGGAGGCAGGCCGGUGGUGGAGUCGUAGACGCCCAACAACGACGGCAUAAUAGGCCAGCCAUGCAGACGGAGAUACCAGUCGGCGGCGGCGAAGGCAAGCCGGUCGGUGAAGAGGUAGACGCCCAACAACAGCGGCAUAAUAGGCCAGCCGUGUAGGCGGUGACACCAGUCGGCGGCGGCGAAAGCAAACCGGCGGUGAAAAUGUAGACGCCUGACAACGGUGUUGUGACCAACCAACCGUAUAGGCGAAGACACCAGUCGGCGGCGACGACGGCGAGCCGGUGGUGAUGUUCUGACUGAUCCAUUCCUGGAGCAUAAGAGAUAAGCUUAAAGCCAUGAAUCCCUUUUAUGCAUAUCUGGAUUUGGAUCCUGCAGAACAAACAUAUAGGAUGAGUAGUUUCUGAUGUAAAUAUAAUACUCGAGAAAAAUUCAAGCAGUUUAAAAUAUUUAUAAAUAUGUAUUUCUCCUCUUGUCAAUUUUGAUUUCCCCGAGCAGAUGACUCUGUACGUUUAAACACUCUGUCCGACUAGUCAUAACCAUCAAGCACCGGGAGUCGGCCUAGGCACUUCCCAAACAUGCAUAUGAGUGACAUGAGUUCGUCAUUAAUGGAACAAAGUUUCACGGAUCAGAAUUUACUACUCGGGUACUUUUGCAAUUAUUAAGAGCAGAAAAUAAAUUUAUCUCAUCUCUAUGCUUUAGAUUUAUUCCGAAUAAUACUUAGCACCUUGCGUUACUCGGUCCAUCCAACGAGCCCCCGGGUGCUAGGAAUCGGCCCAAAGGCAACGAUCCAUUGGCAAACCAAACGGAAAGCAUAGGAAGAUAGAACUCCAUAACUCGAUAGGUACUUUUGUACUCAGAUUAUGUCGCAAGCAAUCAAGAUAAAUAUUAUGAAAAAUAUGAUAUAACAUCUGUAGCCCCCGACUCACUACUCAAUGGAAGACCAAUUGGUGUAGUGAGGCAGAGGGAAAGGAAAAAUAUCAUAUAAAGAAUAAAAUAAAUGAUGACUUAGCUUUGUAAUAUUCCCCUUGGUGAUGGCAGAAGUGGCCAAUGUGGGAACAAAGUCGUCCAUCAAUAACAAUGAAGACACCAGUCGGCGGCGACGAAGGCGGUCGACGGUGAAAGCGAAGACGCCCAACAGCGGCGGCAUAAUAGGCCAGCCGUGUAGGCGGAGGCACCAGUCGGCGGCGACGGAGGCAGGCCGGCGGUGAAGAUGACGAUGCCCAUCAACGGUGGUGUGACCAACCGACCGUAUAGGCGGGGACACCAGUCGGCGGCGACGGAGGCAGGCCGGUGGUGAAGUCGUAGACGCCCAACAGCGGCGGCAUAAUAGGCCAGCCGUGUAGGCGGAGGCACUAGUCGGCGGCGACGGAGGCAGGCCGGCGGUGAAGAUGACGAUGCCCAUCAACGGUGGUGUGACCAACCGACCGUAUAGGCGGGGACACCAGUCGGCGGCGACGGAGGCAGGCCGAUGGUGAAGUCGUAGACGCCCAACAGCGGCGGCAUAAUAGGCCAGCCGUGUAGGCGGAGGCAUGGACGCCCAUGAACGGUGGUGUGACCAACCAACCGUAUAGGCGAGGACACCAGUCGGCGGCGACGGAGGCAGGCCGGCGGUGAAGUCGUAGACGCCCAACAGCAGCGGCAUAAUAGGCUAGCCGUGUAGGCAGAAACACCAGUCGGCGGCGGCGAAGGCAAGCCGGUCGGUGAAGACGUGGACGCCCAUGAACGGUGGUGUGACCAACCAACCGUAUAGGCGAGGACACCAGUCGGCGGCGACGGAGGCAGGCCGGCGGUGAAGUCGUAGACGCCCAACAGCAGCGGCAUAAUAGGCCAGCCGUGUAGGCGGAGGCAUGGACGCCCAUGAACGGUGGUGUGACCAACCAACCGUAUAGGCGAGGACACCAGUCGGCGGCGACGGAGGCAGGCCGGCGGUGAAGUCGUAGACACCCAACAGCGGCGGUAUAAUAGGCCAGCCGUGCAGGCGGAGGCACCACUCGGCGGCGACGGAGGCAGGCCGGUGGUGAAGUCGUAGACGCCCAACAGCGGCGGCAUAAUAGGCCAGCCGUGUAGGCGGAGGCACCACUCGGCGGCAACGGAGGCGGGCCGGCGGUGAAGUCGUAGACGCCCAACAGCGGCGGCAUAAUAGGCCAGCCGUGUAGGCGGAGGCACCACUCGGCGGCGACGGAGGUAGGCCGGCGGUGAAGUCGUAGAUGCCCAACAGCGGCGGCAUAAUGGGCCAGCCGUGUAGGCGGAGGCACCAGUCGGCGGCGACGGAGGCAGGCCGGCGGUGAAGUCGUAGACGCCCAACAGCGGCGGCAUAAUAGGCCAGCCGUGUAGGCGGUGGCACCACUCGGCGGCAACGGAGGCAGGCCGGCGGUGAAGUCGUAGAUGCCCAACAGCGGCGGCAUAAUAGGCUAGCCGUGUAGGCGGAGGCACCAGUCGGCGGCGACGGAGGCAGGCCGGCGGUGAAGUCGUAGACGCCCAACAGCGGCGGCAUAAUAGGCCAGCCGUGUAGGCGGAGGCAUGGACGCCCAUGAACGGUGGUGUGACCAACCAACCGUAUAGGCGAGGACACCAGUCAGUGGCGGCAGAGGCAGCGAGCGAUACUUGGUAAUCUUGAUGCGAGAUGCAUGUGCGUAGAUAUAGUCCCUGCCUUGAAAUACAAGAUGAAUCUUGGUGACUUGGGAAAUUCAACCAUUGCCUUCAUGGUCUUGGUGAUGAUGAUUUUGCUCUGUAUACGCUUGACGCUAAAUUGUAGAGUAAUCUUUCUGGGCAGAGCAGUAUUGAUCGAUGUGCAUGCAUAGCUGUAUUUAGGCCGACGGCUUCCUCUGAUUGGUCGGCUGGUUUCCCAUGCACACAGAAAGUACCGGAUUGGCUUAUGUGCUUGUUACAUGCAAUUGCUAAUGACGCUGGCCCAUGAUGAUUGCUCCAAUCGAUUGGCUGCGAGGACAAGUUGACUCGGAUUUGGAUUAAUAAUUGGAUCUCGUCGGGAGAUACGAUACCAACAAGAUGCCGGCGCCACAGAUGCCGGCGGCUGAGAAUUGAUACGCAUCCCUGAAUAGAUUAAAACAGAUGAUGACUGCGGUGCGGCCACCUUCUUCAAUGAAACUGAUAAACAUAGCGGCGGCCGGACGAGAUCAAGGUAGUCUUGAACCUUCCCGACUUGAUUAGGUCCAAGUGAGAAAUCGAGAGCUUUCCGAAGUCGUCGACGAAGAAACCGAAGCAGGAGAUUGGUUGUAAAGCGACGACGAAUCCGGCAAUGCUGAAGGUUAGUUUCCAUCGCACUUGUCAAUGGGAAACUCGACGCACCCCUACCUGGCGCGCCAACUGUCGAAACAUGAAUUCGGCAAUAAUAAAAUGGGGUAGCGCACGAGACCUAAAAGUGGAUGGAUGUGGAGACAAAGGAUUUAGACAGGUUCAGGCCCUCUCAAUGAGAGGUAAUACCCUACUCCUGUUUGGGGAUUUGAAUCCGCCGGGUGUGUAUUGAUCUGACGAUCUAGUUGUCUCAUGCCCCUAGAGGGGCUCCCUGCCCUCCUUAUAUAGGACGGGGGGCAGGAUUACAAGAUAGAAACCUUAACCAAUACGGUAUCGGUUUCCUAAAUCUACUUUACAAUCUUAUCAAACCAGGACUUUAGGCCGUUUCAUAAUAUACAGGGAAACGUAAUACCCAAGUCAUGAUCUGUUACAUAUUUUAUAUAUAUAAGUUAUCCCCUAUAACUAGUCGGAUAACCAUGCCGUGUGGGUAUGGGGUACCCAUAAUCUCCACAUCCUCCUCCUCCCACCUCUACUCCGGCCACCGGCCGCCUCCUCCCACGCUCCCCCCGCCGCCGCCGCCGCCGCCGCCGCCGCCAUCGCCACCCGCCUCCUCCUUCUAGCAGUAGUAAUAAAGGAAGGAAGAAAAUCCACCGCCCUACCCCUAUCUAUCCGUUGCCUCACGUCCGUUUCCCAC
rnacentral:lncRNA from 1 species